rnacentral:rRNA from 1 species
UGUGAAUUGCAGAAUCCCGCGAAUCAUCAAUUCUUUGAACGCAAGUUGCGCCCGAAGCCAUUCGGCCGAGGGCACGCCUGCCUGGGUGUCGUUA